UUUCUCUAGCGAGACUGCCCGCAAAACGGGGAGGAAGGUGGGGAUGACGUCAAGUCAGCAUGGCCUUUAUAUCUUGGGCUACACACACGCUACAAUGGAUGGCACAAUAGGUUGCAACAGCGCGAGCUGAAGCUAAUCCCCAAAGCCAUCCUCAGUACAGAUUGCAGGCUGAAACCCGCCUGCAUGAAGUCGGAGUUGCUAGUAACCGCAAAUCAGCAUGUUGCGGUGAAUACGUUCUCGGGCCUU
rnacentral:rRNA from 1 species